AAGACCGAAAGUGACUCUUCAGAAUGAUGAAGAGCCCACCUGGCUCUCGUUUUGGCAACCAACUGGUGCCACUGGAGCACGAAGAGAAAACCGAGAAGGAACAACGGGGCGGGGUAGAGGAGUAGGGAACACGGGUGGAGGAGGACGGUGAGUAAAGGAGGGAGUAACGGUCGUCUCCAUGGUGAGACCGUGGUCGCCAUGGUUACCCACAGAGCCCGGGUCAGCGGCUCCAGGAAUGCGCACGCUGUUUGCACACAUGCAAACACGCGCACGCACACAGGUCAUUACUUGUGUUUGCGUGUGUGUAAGUGUGUGAUAAAAGAUGUGUGGUGUUGUCAGAGUCACAGAGGGAUGUGAAUGUCUACACUUCAGGAGGUAAGAAAAGAGGCGUGUGUGUGUGGGGUGUGUGUGUGUGAGAGUCAGAAUAAGACAGGGCUUUGUUUCAUCUCUUUGCCUCCUGUCGGGAAUACAUGUUUGCAUCUGAUGUGUGUUGCUGUUUGUAAGUUUUGUUUGCGUAGGUAUGCGGGCGUGUGUGUGUGUGUGUGUGUGUGUGUGUGUGUGUGUGUGUGUGUUCAAAGAGGGGGUGACGAGAUAACUGUGACUCAAGUGAUGCUGCCACGUGCGGACGCCCGGCUGUUCGUGUAUUUUUCAGGGCGUGUUUUAACUCAGAUAGAAGAAGAAAAGUUAACCAGCGUGUAUUGCUAUGCUGCCAUUUGCGCAGCCAAAGCUUCUUUCAGCACACCCGAGCACAAAAUCAGAAGUUCAUACAAGACAUUCGCUCUCAAUUUUCCCAGCUUCUUUCCACUGUGUAGGCAAUUCACAUGGUUACCAUGAAAUGUAGACACACAGCGACACAUCUCACCACAGCGCCCUAACGCACUUUGAUGUGCUUGGAUUCAUGUGACUGUCUCUUAUUAACGUCCCUCCCUGUCAAACCUUGAAAACUUAGCUCUGUAUAUCUGUUUUAAGACUAAAAACAAUUAAUAUUUUUUUCUAUAUUUCACCAGAGCAAACACAUGUAAAUAUGUAAAAAUCUAGUAAUUUCACUUUAUCAGCAUUCAGACUCUCUGGCUGCUAUGUCCUAAAACGCAAUGCUGUAAAGCUGUUGCAUCAAGCUAACCAUUAGCUGGUAUUUAUCCCAAAGUUAGCAUCUACUUUGGUAAUGACGUGCUUCAUAAUUUGUGAAGGUAUGAUGUUUUUUAUGAUGUAAAGCACUUUCAACUGCCUGGUUGCUGAAAUGUGCUGGUCAAAUAAACUUGAGGGAGGCUGGUAAUCAGGUUUACUCUUUAAACUCUGUAAAGAGUGAAAUAGUUUUCUCUUUAAAAACAAACCAUUUUCUCUGGAGGCAUGUCUUCUGUUUAUUUGGGCUGUCACAAACAAAGCACUUUGGUGAGUGCUGGUCCUUUUGAUUCUUUACUUGAUUAAUUAAACAAUCAAAACUUGUUUCUUCACAAGCUAUGUCAAAACAAUUGUUAAUAUAGUAAAUAUGAUACACUGCAAUGUAGCCUGUGGUAAUGAUUUAUGUGUGUGUAAUGCAGGUUUGGAGAGGUAAACACUCUCUACUGCCAGCAUGCAACGUGUGUAUAAAUUGCUUCUCUCCUUUCUAUCCCACAGCAACAGCAGUUUGUGUCAGAAAAGGACACUGUGAUAUUGAACUGAAGCAGCUUACCUGACCACAGUACCGUCCUAGCAAACCCAAACUAAAGCCCAUUUAAACCGUCUUGCUGUUUCAAGCAGAACACAGAAAACUCUGCUACGAACUUCCGUUAACGCCUUUAAAUCUGCAUGCGGAGCAAAGCUUAUUAAACUGCAUUGACCUGGUUUUCCUCCAUCCUCCUAAAUGAGACACCUCUUGCUGCUAAUGAGCAAGGUCUUAGCAAAGACGCUAACAUUUAUUACAGCCCAUGUGAUACUUGCUGUAAUCAACAGAGCCAACGAUUACAGCAAAAAACAAAACAAAACAAACAAAAAAACAAACAACAGAAGGACAUGUAAUAACUGCGAGAGGCUUCCACACAGCUGUCGGUGCCCGAUGGAGACCUUAAUGUCUGACCUCUUGCGGGAUGCAGUGUUUAAGUUGAAGGAGAAGGUCCUCUUAAUAAAUGAUCUCACUGUGUUCUGUCUGUACACUGAGAACUAAAAGAUUUCAUGACCUGGGGGCAAAACAGACCUAUUGAAAAGGCACCCGGAAAGGUCAUAAAUUCAUAGAUAUCAACAGUGGGAGAGCUGUAGCUUCCCCGCUUCCUGGACUGUCCGUAUGUAUUUCUGAGGUGUUUUGAAGGUCAGUGCAAAAAGCUCAGCAUGCCUGGCUGAUCCAUCCAGUGGACUACCAAUUCCCAAGCUGCUGCCCUUUGAAGCGGUCAGAAGAUUCAGGUAGGAUUUCCACCCCAGUAGAAGUGUUGCAUUGUCCGCUCCGUUUCAGCUUAUUUUCAGAUAUCAGGCGGUGUUCCAGCACCUAGAUGUCUUAAAGAUAACACUCCUGCUGUUCUUUGAAGCUUCUGCAGCAUCAUUUUUAAACAGUAGUAGAUUAGAAACACCCCACAGGUCCUGUGUUUCAUUUAGCUUCUGCAGACUGAUCACGAAUGCCUAGGCAAAUCUCUCAUUCAGAGCAUUCGGGGUAUUUAAUCAACCUCCCACCCCCAAAAUAAAAUUAAAAAAAAACCCACAAAAAAGUUACCAACCUUGGUAUAGUUGUUGUUUUCCUCACUUCUUUGAUUAGAUGUAAUUUCUUUUUAAACCUUAGCUUUUAUUUCACGUCCCUUUCUGUCUUGCUGGGAGCUACAUUUGCUAGUGACAUAAAUGCCACACUGUCUGGUCCCAGCAACACACAUCAAAAUGUUUAAAAGCAUACAUUUUCUGGACCCAUUUCCAACCCUGGUACGGGUUGCAGGGAGCAUUGGUGUGUAUCUCCAGUGGUCAGCGGGUGAGAUGGAGCCUGUGUCAUUACGAACAGGUCAACAAUACGUCACAGAAACACACCGGCUUGUCAUGUCGCCCUGUGGAAAUGUAAUUUUUUAUAUAAACCACUAAACUUUAUCUGAAUUAUUUAGCUGCUUGAUCAUGACAGAAGCUGUAUAUUCACACGCCAAAUGUCUGUGUGUUGCCUUGUUAUUGUGAAAUAUUUAUGUUGCUUUAUGCUCUCUUUUAUCUCCUAUAGGUGAGGCGUGUAACACCGAUUGCUCUCUCUCACACACAUAGAUUGUGCGACUUUACCUCUGGUCCUGAUAUGAAAGGGUCUUUAAAGAUAAGUCAUGGUUAAAAUAUAUUGAUGAAUGAUUUAACAAUAAAAUAUAAGCAAAUUAAAUCAGUUUUCUAUUUCAUUUUUUUUUUUUAAAGUAUCAUUUGAGGGGCGUUGAGCAAAACAAUAACAUUUUCUCAAGUACUGAAUGUUAUGAACAAAGUUACUGAUGAACUUGGACGCUUUUGUCUUUGGCCCAGCUCUGACACAUGGUCCUCCUUCUCUGAUUUAUGACCUUUGACCUCUCUGACAUCAUUUAUCAUCACACUAAAGCCCCCUGAACGUCCUUGGAAAGGACAUGAACGGACCUCCUGCUUCGCAUCUCUUUUCAACCUUUUCAAAUUUGAUCUGGGCUCUCAGUGGUGCAUCGGGGCCAGCCGGUGAAUACAGUAGCGCCCUCCACAUGACGAACUCUGAAAGCCUUUAAAAUGCACCAACAGAGACAUCAGCGGUCUUUCUGACAGCGCCUCGGUUGGUGUGCAAUGUCACUUGAGGCUCCUGCAAUUACAUUUUGGACAAGGAACUCCAAUCGUGCCUCAAGUGGCACCAUGAUGGCCCCUUCGCCAACUUUCCAGUGAUUGCGAGGUCACAUUGCUUGCCUCUAAUAACAUCACCACAUCAGCAGACGGAGGGAGGAGGGAAUGAGCCAUUAGGCUCCAGAAGCCAGCCAGUUCCCCACUGUCUGUCUGCAAGCUGAGAGCUGGCAGGCAUGCAAGCAGGAUAACAGGCUUCCUUUUCCAUCUACUGGAUGGCUGGACGUUACACUCCGACGGUGGAGGAUGCCAACAAAAUGAGCGUGGAAAAGCCUCCAGGGUCCCAGAAACUUACAGAAGAUGGGGUGGGGGGCAAAAAGUGUGAAUUGUAAUUUGAAUGCUACUGUUAGUUUCCUCUGUUUUGUCUGGAAUGAUUUGCUGCAUGCACCAACAAUGCAAAGGAAGACUCGUCUUCAAGGAGGUGAUGACUCGAGUCACGCAGCUGAGCUCCACAAAUCACUCAAAGAUUCAAAGACGGGCUGACAGCUCAGCUCUACGCUUCAAAAACAACAUCAUUUGUUUUAACACCUUGGAAAGAAGCAGAAAAAAAGACAAGACUACAUUAUUGUACAAGGACAUUUUGAUUCAUUUUUGCCACAUAGUACUUAGCUUAUUGUGAAGUCUGAUGGGAAAUGUGAAAAAUUUAGAAGCCGUGACAAGCAAAGACAAUAUAAACUUUUUUACAAUGAAAACUACAGAAUUUUUAAAGCAGAACUGACAUAUUUGGGCCGGUGACAAAUAAGAUUGUAUGUUUUCAAAUGAAAAAUAUAAAAGAAAAUUAAA